GAUUACUGGGUUUUUACUUCGUUCGACCUGACGCCUUAAGCAAGAGUUUUGAAGGAAACCACUCUGGAGAAGCACCUCACAAGGGCUGCAGUUGGAAGUUUGGGUCGGCACCUUCCCACAGCCCUUUAGGUCAAAUGGAGCUAGUUUGGGGAAGGUGCACAGGAGGGGACGCUAAUUCAGUUAAGCCCCUGGGCGCUGGCCCUUACAAAUACACUGACCCGAAGUCUGGAGGAACUCUUAGCUUCAAGGCUGUACACUUCAUGUGGCCCAGCUUUAGAGAAUUAGUUGGGAACGAUAUGUUUGAGACAUUGAGGUAGGUGUUUGAGGUGUUGUCCUUUACCCCAGGCUGGCAUGGAACUUGCUCUGUAGCCCGGAACUCAUGCCAGUCUCGUCUCAGCCUACCCCGGAAGCUGAGAUUACAGGUGUGCGCCACCACAACCAUAACUGUUCACUUAGGUGACACUGGUGAGAUUUAAAAUAAAUUGAA
rnacentral:lncRNA from 1 species